rnacentral:rRNA from 1 species
AUGGCGCAGCAAAGCGGCAACGAUCUGAAGGCCGUAAUGGAGAAGCUGCUCCAGGCGUUCGAGGACGAAGUGGACAGUGAGCUGCCCCACAGGGAGGUGCUGGACCACAUCUUCCGCAUCCUCAAGGCCAACAAGGAGAAGAUCAUCUCGGAGCCACCGGAGGUGGGGAAGAAGGAGAAGCUGCCCGAGCUGCUGCGCAGUAUCGGCGAUGCCCUGCAGCAAUGCAAGGCACGGUCCAAGCAGCAGCAGUCUGAGUCUGACAAGGCCAAGAGCAAGAAGAUGACAAUGCCGUCGGUGAGCGACUGCAACCCUUUCAAGUCUCGACCCUCGCAGCUGUCCGUCGACCCCUUGCUGGAGCAGACCAUCGCCAUUCUCGGCGAUGUUCCUCCUCCUUCUCCUUCCCCUGAUCAGGAUGCAGGAGAGGAGACCGUGACGGAGUACUACGAGUGGACAACGAGCUACGUGGAUGAGAGCCGGAUAUACGGCUGGGACAAGGAAGCCAACGAGGUGGUGGACGCCCUCGUGGGCAAGGAGGGCGAAGACGAGGAUCAGGUGCUGUUCAGGACGGCGGGCAUCGCGGGGAUCCACGGCAGCGGCAAGACGGCGCUGGCGCAGAAGGUGUUCGUCCACGACAGGAUCAAGGACGCCUUCCCUCUCCGGCUCUGGGUCUGCGUGGGCCCGCCGGACCACGAGGACAGGUUCAACCUCCUCUACCGGAUGCUCGACAACCUCGGCCUCGACACCGCCAAGGUCGAGGACAUCGUCGACAAGGCCGACGUCGUCGUCAAGGCAGCCACCGACGAGGACAAGGACAAGUCCAGGAUCGGCGUGCUGCUCUUCAUCCUCUACGUGACGCUGUACAAGACGGGGUACCUUAUCGUGUUCGACGACAUCAGGGCGUACAGCGACUGGUACAGCAACCUGACGCUGCAGCCACCCAAGGACGGCGAGUGGUACGAGCGGCUCGCCUACGGCCUGCCCAAGGCCAGGAAGAGCGCGGUGCUCGUCACCUGCCGCAGCGAGGACGGCGCCGGGGUGAUGGUGCGCACCGGCGGCGUGUUUCACCCUCCCAAGCUCGAGGGCGAAGAAGGGUGGAAGCUCUUCCACAGGGAGUACAAGGAGGCCAAAGACAAGGACAAGGGCGAGGAGGAGGAGGAAGACAAGCUUUACAAGGAACUCCAAGAGAUGAAGGAGGAGAUCAUCGGAAAGUGCCUCGGCCUUCCGGUGGGCAUCGUCCAGGCGGCCAAGGGCUUCGCCGCGCUCGAGCACGAGCCGGAAGCUGACGCCAAGGAUAACGCUGCCGCGGAUCAGGCUGCGACGAGCAAAGACCGAACCUGGACCUGCAACUGA